GACCAGACUCCUACGGGAGGCGGCAGUGGGGAGUAUUGCACAAUGGGGGAAACCCUGAUGCAGCGACGCCGCGUGAGCGAUGAAGUAUUUCGGUAUGUAAAGCUCUAUCGGCAGGGAAGAAAAUGACGGUACCUGACUAAGAAGCCCUGGCUAACUACGUGCCAGCAGCCGCGGUAAUACGUAGGGGGCAAGCGUUAUCCGGAUUUACUGGGUGUAAAGGGAGCGUAGACGGUCCUGCAAGCCAGAUGUGAAAGCCCGGGGCUCAACCCCGGGACUGCAUUUGGAACUGUAAGGCUAGAGUGUCGGAGAGGCAGGCGGAAUUCCUAGUGUAGCGGUGAAAUGCGUGGAUAUUAGGAGGAACACCAGUGGCGAAGGCGGCCUGCUGGACGAUGACUGACGUUGAGGCUCGAAAGCGUGGGGAGCAAACAGGAUUAGAUACCCCAGUA
rnacentral:rRNA from 1 species